rnacentral:sRNA from 1 species
UCGCCACUAGUUUGUCCGCGAUGCCAG